rnacentral:rRNA from 1 species
CCCCUUCGGGGGUACUCGAGUGGCGAACGGGUGAGUAACACGUGGGUAAUCUGCCCUGCACUUCGGGAUAAGCCUGGGAAACUGGGUCUAAUACCGGAUAGGACCCCGAGGCGCAUGCCUUGGGGUGGAAAGCUUUUGCGGUGUGGGAUGGGCCCGCGGCCUAUCAGCUUGUUGGUGGGGUGACGGCCUACCAAGGCGACGACGGGUAGCCGGCCUGAGAGGGUGUCCGGCCACACUGGGACUGAGAUACGGCCCAGACUCCUACGGGAGGCAGCAGUGGGGAAUAUUGCACAAUGGGCGCAAGCCUGAUGCAGCGACGCCGCGUGGGGGAUGACGGCCUUCGGGUUGUAAACCUCUUUCAGCAGGGACGAAGCGCAAGUGACGGUACCUGCAGAAGAAGCACCGGCCAACUACGUGCCAGCAGCCGCGGUAAUACGUAGGGUGCGAGCGUUGUCCGGAAUUACUGGGCGUAAAGAGCUCGUAGGUGGUUUGUCGCGUUGUUCGUGAAAUCUCACGGCUUAACUGUGAGCGUGCGGGCGAUACGGGCAGACUGGAGUACUGCAGGGGAGACUGGAAUUCCUGGUGUAGCGGUGGAAUGCGCAGAUAUCAGGAGGAACACCGGUGGCGAAGGCGGGUCUCUGGGCAGUAACUGACGCUGAGGAGCGAAAGCGUGGGGAGCGAACAGGAUUAGAUACCCUGGUAGUCCACGCCGUAAACGGUGGGUACUAGGUGUGGGUUUCCUUCCUUGGGAUCCGUGCCGUAGCUAACGCAUUAAGUACCCCGCCUGGGGAGUACGGCCGCAAGGCUAAAACUCAAAGGAAUUGACGGGGGCCCGCACAAGCGGCGGAGCAUGUGGAUUAAUUCGAUGCAACGCGAAGAACCUUACCUGGGUUUGACAUGCACAGGACGCCGGCAGAGAUGUCGGUUCCCUUGUGGCCUGUGUGCAGGUGGUGCAUGGCUGUCGUCAGCUCGUGUCGUGAGAUGUUGGGUUAAGUCCCGCAACGAGCGCAACCCUUGUCUCAUGUUGCCAGCGCGUAAUGGCGGGGACUCGUGAGAGACUGCCGGGGUCAACUCGGAGGAAGGUGGGGAUGACGUCAAGUCAUCAUGCCCCUUAUGUCCAGGGCUUCACACAUGCUACAAUGGCCGGUACAAAGGGCUGCGAUGCCGCAAGGUUAAGCGAAUCCUUUUAAAGCCGGUCUCAGUUCGGAUCGGGGUCUGCAACUCGACCCCGUGAAGUCGGAGUCGCUAGUAAUCGCAGAUCAGCAACGCUGCGGUGAAUACGUUCCCGGGCCUUGUACACACCGCCCGUCACGUCAUGAAAGUCGGUAACACCCGAAGCCAGUGGCCUAACCCUUUGGGAGGGAGCUGUCGAAGGUGGGAUCGGCGAUUGGGACGAAGUCGUAACAAGGUAGCCG